UAUAAGAGAAUUGUGAUAUUACCAGUGUUCCGCCCCUAUAAACAGCAAUGACCAGACACGAGGUCUGGUCAAGCGAAUACUGAGGCAGGAUGCCGAAUAUGAGCGUGUGCGUCCACCGCCACAACACUCCCUCGGAAACACCCGGUAAUAUCCAAUUGUCUUAUCCG
ncrna:unclassified sequences TwoGGAY RNA